rnacentral:rRNA from 1 species
CCUACGGGUGGCAGCAGUGGGGGAUAUUGCACAAUGGGGGGAACCCUGAUGCAGCGACGCCGCGUGGGUGAAGAAGCGCCUCGGCGCGUAAAGCCCUGUCAGCAGGGAAGAAAAUGACGGUAGCUGAAGAGGAAGCCCCGGCUAACUACGUGCCAGCAGCCGCGGGAAUACGUAGGGGGCAAGCGUUAUCCGGAUUUACUGGGUGUAAAGGGGGCGCAGACGGCGAUGCAAGCCAGGAGUGAAAGCCCGGGGCCCAACCCCGGGACUGCUCGUGGAACUGCGUGGCUGGAGUGCAGGAGGGGCAGGCGGAAUGCCUGGUGUAGCGGUGAAAUGCGUAGAUAUCAGGAAGAACACCGGUGGCGAAGGCGGCCUGCUGGACUGCAACUGACGUUGAGGCCCGAAAGCGUGGGGAGCAAACAGGAUUAGAUACCCUUGUAGUC